CCCGGGAGAGUUUCAACGCCCGAGAAUGGAGGUCGAUGAUGUUGGAACUAGGGAACGUACGAUCGGCCUUCUAAGGGAGAACUUCCCAUGGAUCCCGGGCUGGAAUCCUCUGGAACUUUUCAGGCGUUUCGUCUCCGAGGUGGGGUGGAGAUCGUUACUCCAGAAACAGGAGUGCGGCAAGGACCGGAUCGAGGGACCUCGCCCGGGACUACAUUUCCCAGAGGCCAUCGCAGACUGCGUUCUCCGGGAAGAGCUCCGCCGGCUCUUGACCCUGCUGUUCAGAGCGGCCUAGGUGUGGAGUCCCCAGUCUGUGGGGCGACGUCACAAGGCCUCUAGGACUGGGAAUGCCUGGAAGAGGCGAAGGUCAUCAUGUCUUCGCUAGAACGCAAUCUACUGAUGCUCGAUAGCCGCUAAUUUAAAUGCGCUGCUUUAGCCAGGCCUGGGGGUGUGCACCCUCUAUCCCAGCCCUCCGGAGGUGUGUUGCUGUUUUACCUUGCCUGCUUAAGGCACCUGAUUGGACUAAUUAAAAGCUGAACAGCCAGUGGUGAGGGAGACGAGCUUCUGAGCAGGGAGAAUAAAUAGGAGGAGGAAUUUAGACUCAAGGAAGAAAGAAAAAGAAAAGGAAGAAGAAAGAAAUGGAGAUGUCAACUUCCUGUUACCUGCAAGAUAGAGUAGUCUCAGCUCCAGGACCUCAUCUGCCUGCACAUUGUCACCCUCCCCGUCAUGACAGUGGACUGAACUCUGAAACUGCAAGCUGCCACCUCUAAUGUUUGCUUUUAUGUAAAUCAUCUAAGUGUUUCCUAAAAGUUUCAAAAACCAAAACUUGGUUGCAGAAGAACUCAAG
rnacentral:lncRNA from 1 species